AGAGUUUCAUUCCGGCUCAGGAUGAACGCCGGCGGUGUGCCUAAUACAUGCAAGUCGUACGCACUGGCCCAACUGAUUGAUGGUGCUUGCACCUGAUUGACGAUGGAUCACCAGUGAGUGGCGGACGGGUGAGUAACACGUAGGUAACCUGCCUCGGAGCGGGGGAUAACAUUUGGAAACAGAUGCUAAUACCGCAUAACAACAAAAGCCACAUGGCUUUUGUUUGAAAGGUGGCUUUGGCUAUCACUCUGGGAUGGACCUGCGGUGCAUUAGCUAGUUGGUAAGGUAACGGCUUACCAAGGCAAUGAUGCAUAGCCGAGUUGAGAGACUGAUCGGCCACAAUGGAACUGAGACACGGUCCAUACUCCUACGGGAGGCAGCAGUAGGGAAUCUUCCACAAUGGGCGCAAGCCUGAUGGAGCAACACCGCGUGAGUGAAGAAGGGUUUCGGCUCGUAAAGCUCUGUUGUUGGAGAAGAACGUGCGUGAGAGUAACUGUUCACGCAGUGACGGUAUCCAACCAGAAAGUCACGGCUAACUACGUGCCAGCAGCCGCGGUAAUACGUAGGUGGCAAGCGUUAUCCGGAUUUAUUGGGCGUAAAGCGAGCGCAGGCGGUUGCUUAGGUCUGAUGUGAAAGCCUUCGGCUUAACCGAAGAAGUGCAUCGGAAACCGGGCGACUUGAGUGCAGAAGAGGACAGUGGAACUCCAUGUGUAGCGGUGGAAUGCGUAGAUAUAUGGAAGAACACCAGUGGCGAAGGCGGCUGUCUGGUCUGCAACUGACGCUGAGGCUCGAAAGCAUGGGUAGCGAACAGGAUUAGAUACCCUGGUAGUCCAUGCCGUAAACGAUGAGUG
rnacentral:rRNA from 1 species